GAUGAACGCUGGCGGCGUGCCUAAUACAUGCCAGUCGAGCGAACGGACGAGAAGCUUGCUUCUCUGAUGUUAGCGGCGGACGGGUGAGUAACACGUGGAUAACCUACCUAUAAGACUGGGAUAACUUCGGGAAACCGUAGCUAAUACCGGAUAAUAUUUUGAACCGCAUGGUUCAAAAGUGAAAGACGGUCUUGCUGUCACUUAUAGAUGGAUCCGCGCUGCAUUAGAUAGUUGGUAAGGUAACGGCUUACCAAGGCAACGAUGCAUAGCCGACCUGAGAGGGUGAUCGGCCACACUGGAACUGAGACACGGUCCAGACUCCUACGGGAGGCAGCAGUAGGGAAUCUUCCGCAAUGGGCGAAAGCCUGACGGAGCAACGCCGCGUGAGUGAUGAAGGUCUUCGGAUCGUAAAACUCUGUUAUUAGGGAAGAACAUAUGUGUAAGUAACUGUGCACAUCUUGACGGUACCUAAUCAGAAAGCCACGGCUAACUACGUG
rnacentral:rRNA from 1 species